rnacentral:rRNA from 1 species
UAGGGAAUAUUGGACAAUGGGUGAGAGCCUGAUCCAGCCAUGCCGCGUGCAGGAAGAAGGCGUUAUGCGUUGUAAACUGCUUUUUGCCAGGGGAUAAAAAGACCGUGCGCGGUUAAUUGAAGGUACCUGGUGAAUAAGCCACGGCUAACUACGUGCCAGCAGCCGCGGUAAUACGUAGGUGGCAAGCGUUGUCCGGAUUUAUUGGGUUUAAAGGGUGCGUAGGUGGCCCUGUAAGUCAGUGGUGAAAUAUCUCAGCUUAACUGAGAGGGUGCCAUUGAUACUGCAGGGCUUGAGUACAGAUGAGGUAGGCGGAAUUGACGGUGUAGCGGUGAAAUGCAUAGAUAUCAAGAGGAACACCUGAGGUGAAGACGGGUUGCUGGGCUGACACUGACGCUGAGGCGCGAAAGCCAGGGGAGCAAACGGGAUUAGAUACCCAUGUAGUCCCUGAGCGGGCUGGCAAGGCGCAU